GGGGAGGGGAGGGGAGGAGGCCGCAGGUCCGACCGCGGCGGCGGCGGCGGCGGCGGCGGCGGCGGCAGGGGCGGCCCGCGUCGCUACCUCGCUCGUCGCUCCCUCCCUCCCUCGGACGCCCGCCAGCCGCUCUCUCCCUCUCACCCUCACACCGGGAGCGACGCACACCCCACCCGCCCCUCAGCUUCGCAGGCCCGGCCCCUUAAAGAGACACACACGGGCCACCGAUCUGCCGCCAGUCGGCGUGCCUUGCAGCUGUUGGCUUGACCCCAGGCCGGGACGGGCAGAGCGGAACACUGCCCGGCGGGUCCAGGCCGACCGUGCCUGUGGCUCUCCGGAACAAUAAACCCCCGGCCCCAGUGAUGUGGGCCAGACCGGACCUGGAGAGGCGGCACCGCGACCCCUCCCGCAACCCGCCUGGCGGCCGGGGGCAGCGUGACCCGGCCCGCUACCGUGUCACAGCUGGCGACUGACAAACAGCAGGCGACGUCGGGAGAACUCCCCGAGACACCCGAGACAUCAGCCUUCUCGCUCCGCGGCCCUGCAGGACCUGCCCGCCGGGAGCCCCGGAGUCCGCGGCAGCGCCGAGGGCCCCUCCCCCAGGCCUCUGGGCUCUGAGGCUCAUCCAUGGAAUACCAAUUCUUUUUCUUAGUGUUCACAUUGGAUUUUUCUGUUAAAAAUAGAUUGUUGGAGUUGGCUAACAAGUUGAUUACUUCCAGUCAGGCACUCUCUUCUGUAAAGUCUCUUUUGUAAACUCCUACAAGCAGCUAUUUCACUGGAUUUGAAAAGACUGACUAAAAAGAACCAUGCACUGUAACUCUCAAGUAUACAGGAAUAUUGUUAUUAGGUAAUUUUUUUUUUCAAUAUGUGUUAACCUUGUCUUCCCUACAAUUUUCUUUUUCUUUUUUUUUUUUUUUUGAGAUGGAAUCUCACUCUGUCGCCCAGGCUGGAGUGCGGUGGCACAAUCUCAGCUCACUGCAACCUCUACUGCCUGGGUUCAAGCGAUUCUCCUGCCUCAGCCUCCUGAGUAGCUGGGAUUACAGACGCGCGCCACCAUACCCAGCUAAUUUUUUGUAUCUUUAGUAGAGACGGGGUUUCACCAUCUUGGCCAGGCUGGUCUUGAACUCCUGACCUUGUGAUCCACCCGCCUCAGCCUCCCAAAGUGCUGGGAUUACAGGCAUGAGCCACGGCGCCCAGCCUCCCUACAGUUUUCAAACAUUCAGAGAGGUGAUUAUGGUGUAUCUUUUAUUCUGUUUUGCUUUGGAUCUUGGCGUUCUUCUAGAGAACUCAUCUGCUCAGGAGCUUCUCAGUGCAUCUUCCCUCCCAAACUUGUCUUACCCAGCAGAGAAUGAAUGUACUCAAGAUUACCAGUUUUGCAGAUGAAUAAACCAAUGAUUCCAGAGGUUAUGGUGCAUAUCUAGAGUCACAUGACUAAGAAAUGAUAAAACCAGGAUUUCAGCCAGGUUAUCUGUUUCAAGACAUUUUCAGACAAAAAAAUCUGGAGUUUGCCACCAACAAGAAAUGAUCCUAGCCUCAGCAUCUCAGCCCACACUGGGAGUGUCAGGUGCUGAAAAAAAAUUUUUUUAAUUUUACAUAGUAAAUAAUUUUAUAAAAAAGAAAGAAAUGAUCCCUUAUACAAGAAGGAAUGAUAAAAAUAUUAGUAAAUAAGUGGUUAAAACUAAAAACUUUUUACCAUACAAAGUAAUAGUAAGUAAUUUGUGUGGUUAAUAAGGUAAAGCAAGAUGGAACUGAUACUCUGGACAACAAAGUCAUAUAUUUAGAAGCAGGAUGAGUGGAGUGAUGGUUGGAGUUGAAGUUUUCCAAGGUCCUGGUAUUGUUUGGGAAGUGGGUAAAAAUAUUGAUUAACUUUAACCUUUACUCUUUUAAGUGUAUAAGAUAAAAUAUGUAGGGUAACUGCUUUUCCAAAUUAACAGAAGAAAAUAGAAUAAAGAAAAAUACAAAAAAAAAGGCCGAGCAUGGUGGCUCACGCCUGUAAUCCCAGCACUUUGAGAUGCUGAGGCGGAAGGAUUGCUUGAGACCAGGAGUUUAAGACCAGCCUGUGCAACAUAGCCAGACUCCCUCCCAGCUCUACAAAAAACAAAAGAGAUUAGCCAGCUGUGGUGGUGCACACCUAUAGUCCCAGCUACUUGGGAGGCUGAGGCAGGGGGAAUACAUUUCAGUUUUAAAGAGUGCAAAAUGGACAAGAAAAUAAAACUUAGGCCAGGUAUGGUGGCUCACGCCUGUAAUCCC
rnacentral:lncRNA from 10 species